GCCAGUAGUCAUAUCACCCUGCAACUCACAACUGGCAACCCACUGAAGCUAAGCAGGUGUGAGCCUGGUCAGUACCUGGAUGGGAGACCUCCUGGGAAAAACUAAGGCUGCUGCUGGAA
ensembl:rRNA 5S_rRNA 5S ribosomal RNA